rnacentral:ncRNA from 2 species
CCAUAUCCGUUGGGGUGUCCCGUCAUGGGGCUGAGAGGCGCAGCCAACCCAUCGAACCUGAUCCGGACAAUGCCGGCGUAGGGAACGGACCUGACCUGAGG